rnacentral:snRNA from 1 species
GGAUGUGAGGGCGACAUCUGUCACCCCAUUGAUCACCAGAGUCGAUUGGGCUGAUCUGGCUGGCUGAGGGGGUGUCUGCUUCCUCCCUCACCGCUCCUUGUGCGUCCCUUCUGAAGCUCUGUUGAAGGGGAUGCCCUUCUCCGAAUAGGGGAGGACCCCAGUCUUCAGUCAAGGGUAUGCACAGCUGUGAUCCUCUGCUAGAACCUCCAAACUGCCAGGCUGGACUCCAAGAACAUCCCAUGGAUUGCUAAUGCAUUGUACCUUUUUUUUUUUGCAUUUGCUAAUGAAGCAUUUUCUGGACUAUUCUUA